CAUGCAAGUCGAGGGGCAGCACGGUGUAGCAAUACAUUGGUGGCGACCGGCGCACGGGUGAGUAACGCGUAUGCAACCUACCUAUCAGAGGGGAAUAACCCGGCGAAAGUCGGACUAAUACCGCAUAAAACAGGGGUUCCACAUGGAAAUAUUUGUUAAAGAUUUAUCGCUGAUAGAUGGGCAUGCGUUCCAUUAGAUAGUUGGUGAGGUAACGGCUCACCAAGUCCACGAUGGAUAGGGGUUCUGAGAGGAAGGUCCCCCACACUGGUACUGAGACACGGACCAGACUCCUACGGGAGGCAGCAGUGAGGAAUAUUGGUCAAUGGGCGAGAGCCUGAACCAGCCAAGUCGCGUGAAGGAUGAAGGAUCUAUGGUUUGUAAACUUCUUUUAUAUGGGAAUAAAGUGAGGAACGUGUUCCUUUUUGUAUGUACCAUAUGAAUAAGCAUCGGCUAACUCCGUGCCAGCAGCCGCGGUAAUACGGAGGAUGCGAGCGUUAUCCGGAUUUAUUGGGUUUAAAGGGUGCGUAGGUGGUUAAUUAAGUCAGCGGUGAAAGUUUGUGGCUCAACCAUAAAAUUGCCGUUGAAACUGGUUGACUUGAGUAUAUUUGAGGUAGGCGGAAUGCGUGGUGUA
rnacentral:rRNA from 1 species